UACGGGGGGAGCAAGCGUUGUUCGGAUUUACUGGGCGUAAAGGGCGCGUAGGCGGCCAGCACAAGUCAGUUGUGAAAUCUCUGAGCUUAACUCGGAACGGUCAAGUGAUACUGUCGGGCUAGAGUGCAGAAGGGGCAACUGGAAUUCUCGGUGUAGCGGUGAAAUGCGUAGAUAUCGAGAGGAACACCUGCGGCGAAGGCGGGUUGCUGGGCUGACACUGACGCUGAGGCGCGAAAGCCAGGGGAGCGAACGGG
rnacentral:rRNA from 1 species